rnacentral:rRNA from 1 species
AGAGUUUGAUCCUGGCUCAGAGUGAACGCUGGCGGUAGGCCUAACACAUGCAAGUCGAACGGCAGCACAGGAGAGCUUGCUCUCUGGGUGGCGAGUGGCGGACGGGUGAGGAAUACAUCGGAAUCUACUUUUUCGUGGGGGAUAACGUAGGGAAACUUACGCUAAUACCGCAUACGACCUACGGGUGAAAGCAGGGGAUCUUCGGACCUUGCGCGAUUGAAUGAGCCGAUGUCGGAUUAGCUAGUUGGCGGGGUAAAGGCCCACCAAGGCGACGAUCCGUAGCUGGUCUGAGAGGAUGAUCAGCCACACUGGAACUGAGACACGGUCCAGACUCCUACGGGAGGCAGCAGUGGGGAAUAUUGGACAAUGGGCGCAAGCCUGAUCCAGCCAUACCGCGUGGGUGGAGAAGGCCUUCGGGUUGUAAAGCCCUUUUGUUGGGAAAGAAAUCCAGCUGGCUAAUACCCGGUUGGGAUGACGGUACCCAAAGAAUAAGCACCGGCUAACUUCGUGCCAGCAGCCGCGGUAAUACGAAGGGUGCAAGCGUUACUCGGAAUUACUGGGCGUAAAGCGUGCGUAGGUGGUCGUUUAAGUCCGUUGUGAAAGCCCUGGGCUCAACCUGGGAACUGCAGUGGAUACUGGGCGACUAGAGUGUGGUAAAGGGUACCGGAAUUCCUGGUGUAACACUGAAAUGCGUANAGAUCAGGAAGAACCUCCAUGGCAAGGCAGCUACCUGGACCAACACGACACUUGAGCACAAAAGCUUGGGGAACAAACAGAUUAAUACCCUGGUAUUCCCCCCCUAAC